AAACCUUUAGGGCAGGCAAAAGUGGAGCGAGGAACGGAUCGGACACAGCGACUACCCGCCCGGACACCGGCUCCCAGGCACGCUACCUCUCUUACUUUAUCACGCAUCGGAGAAAGGACCUAGGGAACGGAAGAGAAAGGGAGCUGGAGGGGUUAGGGGCGGAGGAGGGGCUGGGGGAGUAAGGAAGACCGGCGGCGGCGGAGGAAGAGCCGCUACGGCCGCUCGCACAGGUAGCCCCCGUGGAGCACAACCUCCUUCAGGACCGGCAGGAGCCCGCUCCUCGUCCUGCACCCGCCGCCGCCGCCGCUACUGCCCCCGUGGGCGAGGCCGUCGGCGGAUGAAGAGCCGCUACGGCCGCUCGCACAGGUAGCCCCCGUAGAGCACGACCUCCUUCAGGACUGGCAGGAGCCCGCUCCUCGUGUUGCACCCGCCGCCGCCGCCGCUCCUGCCCCCGCGGGCGAGGCCGUUUGUUGACGUCGCGCGACGGGUGGGGCCCAGUUUAGCGUGUCCCCUCCGUCUAGGGCCGCCGACCCACGGCGAGUAGAGCAUCCGGGAGCGAGGUCCAGUGGCUCCUCCCCUACAUCGGCUCAGACACAUCAACUCCCAUUCCUCCCGACUCCACCCUCCCCUUCCUCUACCAGUACCUAGACGAGCUCUCCACUCUCCUGCUUCUGUCCCCCACGAGCUCCACCAGUUCCGUUCCGCCUCGUCGUCUCCUGCCUACCAGGUGCUCGAGUUCAAAUUC
rnacentral:rRNA from 1 species